AGCGGCGGAUUCCAGGCGCGCUGUUCCGGGGAAGGAGAAGGCCCCACGGCGGUGGCUGUUACAGCUUCGUUCGCCCACCCACGACCCCGCGGUCCCCUGCACUGGGUUCCCACCCUCUACUGGGCAGGGCAUGGCUGUGCGCCACAGGGUCUGGCCUACUGCUGCCUGCCGCCGCUUGGUAAUGAGGAUUGAGUGAUAAAACCUUGGUUCCAAAAAGAUCUAGUCCAGCGCGAUAGUUUGAUGAAUGCAAUAGCCUUCAGGAUGGAACAUGCCAUGUCCAACUAAGGGACUGAACAGGUAACUCCCACACUAAGCCCUGAAGAGAGAUGAGAAAUUCAGCACCCAGAUAUCUGAUACUUGUCCCACCUUUUCUUUUCUUUUUUUUUUUUUUUUUUUUGUCCCACCUUUUCAACACUAUCUUGGAUAUCUCCCCUGGAUGUCCCUUUGAGGCUUCAAACUUGAAACCAUGACUCCUUGUUUCCUGCUUCUGUGAAGCCAGCACUCCUAAGUACACUGAGUCCUCUCUCUGCUAAUAGUAGCACCACUUAUGAAACAUCGGGAAAACAGGCAUCUUAUUUCUUUGGCUUUUUCUCAUUGACCUAGUUCCCGAAUCCUAUAGAAUGAUUCUAUUGCCAGGACUUCCUCUUUUUACCUUUCCUGUUGCCCCUGCCCUAGCAGGGGGCCACCUCUGUUCACUUUUCACCUGGAUAAUCUCAGGAGCUUCGUGACUAUAUAUGCCACCUCUAGUUUCUCCUAUACACACUGACCAGGGAAGCUUCUCCUCUUCAGUUACUGUCCUGCUCUCUGCCCUAUUUUCCUGUCCCUCUUCCCAGCCCCCUCCAAAAAAAAAAAAAAAAAAGAUUCCCUAGCCAGCUGGCGAGAAACGGUAGGUUGGAUAUAUACCUUAACCUUCCACUAACAUAAAUUCUGGAUAUACAAAAUAUUUAAGUGAUUGUUUUUAAAAAGAGAAGAAAAAAGAAACUCCAUAAGUCCAUGGGAGAAUUUGUGUUCAUAAUAUCCAAGAGGUCUUUCUGAAUUAAGUCACAAACCCCAGAAGUCAUAAAUGAAAUGAUUGAAAAAUCUACCUGAGUGGCGCCUGGGGCUUGGUGAGUAGGGUACCAGCCCCAUAUAUCAAGGGUGGUGGGUUCAAACCUGGCCCUGGCCGAACUGCAACAAAAAAAAAUAGCUGGGGGUUGUGACGGGCACCUGUAGUCCCAGCUACUUGGGAGGCUGAGGCAAGAGAAUUGCCUAAGCCCAGGAACUGGAGGUUGCUGUGAGCUGUGUGACGCCAUGGCACUCUACCGAGGGCGAUAAAGUGAGACUCUGUCUCUGCAAAAAAGGAAGAAAAAUCUACCUACAUAAAAAUCAAAACCUGAAAUGUGACAAACACGUACAAGCAAAGUCAAAAGACAAAUGCCAAACUAUGAGAAAAUAUUUGCAAGUAUUAAUAGUCAAAGGACUAGUUUUCCUAAUAAAAAGCAACUAGUAAUUAAUAAGAAAAAGUCUGGGGCGGUGCCUGUGGCUCAAUCCGUAAGGCGCCGGCCCUAUAUACUGAGGGUGGUGGGUUCAAACCCGGCCCCGGCCAAACUGCAACCAAAAAAAUAGCCAGGCGUUGUGGCGGGCGCCUGUAGUCCCAGCUACU